AACGGCCGUACCAUGCUUUAGAUAUACCGGUUCUCCGUUAGAUCACCGAAGUUAAGCAUCAUUGGGCGCGGUCAGUACUUGGGUGGGUGACCACCUGGGGUACACUGCGUGCC